rnacentral:rRNA from 1 species
AGGGAAACCGAGUCUUAACUGGGCGUUAAGUUGCAGGGUAUAGACCCGAAACCCGGUGAUCUAGCCAUGGGCAGGUUGAAGGUUGGGUAACACUAACUGGAGGACCGAACCGACUAAUGUUGAAAAAUUAGCGGAUGACUUGUGGCUGGGGGUGAAAGGCCAAUCAAACCGGGAGAUAGCUGGUUCUCCCCGAAAGCUAUUUAGGUAGCGCCUCGUGAACUCAUCUUCGGGGGUAGAGCACUGUUUCGGCUAGGGGGUCAUCCCGACUUACCAACCCGAUGCAAACUGCGAAUACCGAAGAAUGUUAUCACGGGAGACACACGGCGGGUGCUAACGUCCGUCGUGAAGAGGGAAACAACCCAGACCGCCAGCUAAGGUCCCAAAGUCACAGUUAAGUGGGAAACGAUGUGGGAAGGCUCAGACAGCCAGGAUGUUGGCUUAGAAGCAGCCAUCAUUUAAAGAAAGCGUAAUAGCUCACUGGUCGAGUCGGCCUGCGCGGAAGAUGUAACGGGGCUAAACUGUGCACCGAAGCUGCGGCAGCGACGCUUAUGCGUUGUUGGGUAGGGGAGCGUUCUGUAAGCCUGCGAAGGUGUCCUGUGAGGGAUGCUGGAGGUAUCAGAAGUGCGAAUGCUGACAUAAGUAACGAUAAUGCGGGUGAAAAGCCCGCUCGCCGGAAGACCAAGGGUUCCUGUCCAACGUUAAUCGGGGCAGGGUGAGUCGACCCCUAAGGCGAGGCC